rnacentral:rRNA from 1 species
AAAAGAACUUUGAAGAGAGAGUUAAAUAGGACGUGAAACCACUAGGGACGAAGCGGAUGGAGUUGACGAAACUAGUAGCAUUCAGUAUUGUGCGUUCGCCGGAUGGUGCAUGCUGGUGGGGUGUUGUUCUCCACUGCGGUGCUGUUCAGUGUGGGCGUGCGGUGUGCAUUUGUUGCUAGUAUGUGCUGAGAGGUCUGGUUGCUUCUUCCUAACCUUUGUGCGUUUCCCUAAGCCUCGGCUAAGGUGUUUUGUGCAAGGGGGAUGUUGAUGGUGGCUAGGCUCCGAUUGCGGCUAGCGAUUGCGCGCUUAGCGUGCGUAGUGCGUUGUGCGUGAGUAGUGACAUGUCACUUGCUGGCGAUUUCAGCGUAUUGCGUUGCGUUUGGUGCCAUGGACGGUCGUCUCAGUAUGAAAAGUCGACGACCCAUUCGACCCGUCUUGAAACACGGACCAAGAAGUCUAGCAUGUGCGCGAGUCAUUGGGUGUAGAAACCUAAAGGCGAAAUGAAAGUGAAGGCCGACUUGGUGCGGCUGAUAUGGGAGUCGUGUUCGUUCGCGAGUGCGAUGCACCAUAUCCCCAUCCCGUGAGCUUGCUCUGGGGUGGAGGCAGAGCGUACAUGCUGGGACCCGAAAGAUGGUGAACUAUGCCUGAGCAGGAUGAAGUCAGAGGAAACUCUGAUGGAAGUCCGAAGCGGUUCUGACGUGCAAAUCGAUCGUCUGACUUGGGUAUAGGGGCGAAAGACUAAUCGAACCAUC